rnacentral:rRNA from 1 species
GGAAUCUUCCACAAUGGACGAAAGUCUGAUGGAGCAACGCCGCGUGAGUGAAGAAGGUUUUCGGAUCGUAAAACUCUGUUGUUGGAGAAGAACACGUUUGAGAGUAACUGUUCAGACGUUGACGGUAUCCAACCAGAAAGCCACGGCUAACUACGUGCCAGCAGCCGCGGUAAUACGUAGGUGGCAAGCGUUGUCCGGAUUUAUUGGGCGUAAAGAGAAUGUAGGCGGUUUAUUAAGUUUGAAGUGAAAGCCCUCGGCUCAACCGAGGAAGUGCUUCGAAAACUGGUAAACUUGAGUGCAGAAGAGGAAAGUGGAACUCCAUGUGUAGCGGUGGAAUGCGUAGAUAUAUGGAAGAACACCAGUGGCGAAGGCGGCUUUCUGGUCUGUAACUGACGCUGAGGCUCGAAAGCAUGGGUAGCGAACA